GGGCUCUCAUUUUGGUCCCAAUAAAAAGCACAGUAAAAUGAGAUGCGAGAAAAGAUAUCACAAAACUCCUUAAAUCAUAGCAAAAUCCCAACAGAAAUUAGAAAAGAAAAAUACCUUAAUUCCCGUGAAGGGUUGCUGAAGCUCGUGAUCGGGGAUAACAACCGGCCAUUUCUCGUCGGCUUCGCGGAACAUCUGCUCGGUUUCAAGGACUCGACCCUUGUCGAGGAUGAGGGUGCGGAUGUGCUGGGCGGGGGUGGAGGGGCGGCAACGAGCAGGUGGCGCUGGUCGCGGUGGCUAGGGUUAGCAGACGAGAGGGACGGCGAUGAGCAGGCGAAGCUGGUCGCGGUGGCUAGGGUUAGCGGACGAGAGGGGCGGCGCGGCGUGGCAGGCGAUGCAGUGGCAGGCGCCUAGGGAUAGCAGAUGACAGGGGUGGCGAAUUGGGGGGGAGGGGGGGCGCAGCGCUGGUCGAGGCGGCUAGGGUUAGCAAAUGAGAGAGGGGCUGAGAGAGGCGGGGAGAGUUUUUUGUUGAAGAAGAGAGAGGCGGAAAGACGAAACUGAG
rnacentral:lncRNA from 1 species